ensembl:lncRNA
CGUUCAUGCAAAUUCAGUAAUUUCAGCGCACUAAUAUGUGUUAGCAAAUAUGAUUUAUCAGUAAUGGAUGCUAUUAUUUUUGCCUCUUACCAACAAAUUACAGGAAACUAACAAGAGGGGGCGCCAGUAAAACAAACUAGUUAAAUGGGUAAUUUUCUUUUGAAAGUUAAAAACACUGUUUAUGCUCAUUUGUUUAGAGUAACUGAAUAAACUUGAAACACAUCUAUGAUUCAGUAAUAUGAUUCUCAUUAAAAAGUUAGAAAAUUAUGUAUCAAGAUGUAUUCAACAUGAUAAGCACACGCAACAACUGUUUUCAUAUUUGUUGAGCAUGAGUACGCAUUUACAUGACUUUCAGGUUGGUAGUUUUAUGUAUGUUAUAUGAAUGUAUAUUAAAGACGCCUGCAAAUGGCACUGAUGUGUUACUGUGCAUGGAUGUCAUUGCAGGUCUAGGCCCAUGCGUUCCCAGGAUCCAUUUCAACAUUAGGCUGUAUCACUGAAAGUAUAGCCUGUGUUCUGACCGUCAGGCAGGUGUCAUUACUGCACUUCAUUUGCAAGGUGCGGUGGACCCUAGUGUAGACGGGAGCUUGCAGAGGGACCUUCCCCACGGACUAUAUGAAGGGAAGGGAGGGGAGGGGGAGGGGGGGCUGCUGACGUUACUCCCAGCUUGCAGAACACACAGAGACAAGAACUUUAAUGGCUUCCAGGUAGAGAGAAAGAGGCAGCAGUCAAGAUGAACUCGAUUCCUUCGAUGGACAGGCACAUACAGCAGACCAAUGACAGGCUGCUGUGCAUCAAACAGCACUUACAGAAUCCGGCCAAUUUCCAGACAGCGGCCACGGAGCUACUGGACUGGUGUGGAGACCCACGAGCCUUCCAGCGGCCAUUUGAGCAAAGCCUUAUGGGAUGCUUGACGGUUGUAAGUCGUGUGGCAGCACAGCAGGGUUUUGACUUGGACCUCGGCUAUCGGCUCCUGGCCGUGUGUGCGGCAAACCGCGACAAGUUCACCCCUAAGUCGGCAGAAACCACCACCUGCAGGAGAUGUCAGAGUGACACAGCUCUCCUGUCGUCCUGGUGCGAGGAGCUGGGACGGCUGCUCUUGUUGCGGCAUCAGAAGAAUCGUCAGAGCGAUCCACCGGGCAAAGUACCCUUGCAGCCACCCAUGAACUCCAUGAAGCCCUCGCUCUCACAUGGUGAUGGGUCCUUUCCAUAUGACAGUGUUCCCUGGCAACAAAACGCUAACCAGGCCCCGGGUUCGCUGUCGGUAGUUACGACGGUGUGGGGAGUUACCAAUACAUCACAAAGUCAGGUCUUGGGUAACCCCAUGGCCAAUACUAACAAUCCCAUGAACCCUGGAGGCAAUACACUAGGGACGAGUAUGUCAGGCAACAACCCAGGGAUCAACUCACCUCAGUUCCCUGGCCAACAACAACAGUUUUCAGCCAAAGGGGGAUCCAACCAGGCCUACAUCCAGCAAAGCAUGUAUGGGCGUCCAGGGCACCCGGGAGGAGGAGGCUUUGGUGGAAGUUACCCAGGUGGGCCAAAUGCUCCGGGUGGCAUAGGCAUGCCCCCCCAUACACGACCGCCCUCUGAUUUCACCCAACCUGCUGCUGCUGCCGCCGCCGCCGCCGUCGCUGCUGCCGCCGCCACCGCAACAGCUACUGCCACAGCAACCGUGGCAGCCCUGCAAGAGACCAAUAAAGACAUGAACCAGUAUAACCAGGUCUGCUCCUCUUUCCAGAUGGGGCCUACGCAAGGCUACAAUAACCAGUUCAUGAACCAGCCAGGGCCCCGUGGACCCCCGUCCAUGGCUGGAGGCAUGAACCCAGCUGGUAUGGGUGGUGGCAUGAAUAGCUCCAACAUGAGUGGCCCACCAAUGGGUAUGAACCAGCCCAGAGGCCCAGGAAUGGGGCCCUUCGGUGGCCACGGCCAAAGGAUGCCUCAACAGGGUUACCCUGGACCCAGACCUCAGUCCAUGCCCAUGCAGGGCACCAAGAGGCACUAUCCAGGAGAGCCUAAUUAUGGAGGCCAGCAGUUUGGACCCAACGGCCAGUUUCCCAACCAGCAAGGGCAGUACCCUAACCCAAACGCUUCUAGAGCCCUUCCUUCACCCAAUUACCCUGGCCAAAGGAUGCCAGGACAACAGGGCUCUGGCCAGUACCCCCCUACUGGGGUAGCCAUGGGCCAAUACUAUAAGCAAGAGCCAUUUAAUGGUCAGAACAACAAUUUCUCUGGUGGUGGUUAUGGGUAUAGUCAAGGAAAUGGGCCUCCUCGGCAGGUGGUGAACUACCCACACUCGCCAGUUCCUGGGAACCCCACGCCACCCAUGACCCCUGGAAGUAGUAUACCAUACAUGUCGCCCAGUCAAGAUGUCACGCCCCCGUUUCCUCCAGACAUGAAGCCAAACAUGACGUCUUUGCCUCCACCUCCAACCAACCCCAAUGAGGAGCUGCGUUUGACGUUCCCAGUGAGAGACGGAGUGGUGCUGGAGCCCUUUAGAUUAGAGCACAACCUGGCCGUCAGUAACCACGUCUUCCAUCUGCGCCCCUCCGUCCACCAGACGCUUAUGUGGAGAUCUGAUCUGGAGCUGCAGUUUAAGUGCUAUCAUCAUGAGGACCGACAAAUGAACACCAAGUGGCCCGCAUCCGUCCAAGUCAGCGUCAAUGCCACCCCCCUCACUAUUGAGAGGGGCGACAAUAAAACAUCCCACAAACCCCUGCAUCUAAAGCAUGUGUGUCAGCCAGGGAGAAACACCAUCCAGAUUACGGUCGCAGCCUGCUGUUGUUCGCACUUGUUCGUGCUGCAGCUGGUCCAUAGGCCUUCGGUGCGAUCGGUCCUGCAAGGGCUCCUCAAGAAGAGGCUCCUUCCUUCCGAACAUUGCAUUACCAAAAUUAAAAGAAACUUCAGUAGCGUAGCAGCGUCCUCUGGGAAUGCCACACUAAAUGGAGAGGAUGGAGUAGAGCAGACAGCCAUCAAAGUGUCCCUCAAGUGUCCAAUCACAUUCCGACGGAUCCAGCUCCCUGCUAGGGGACAUGACUGCAAACACGUGCAGUGCUUUGACUUAGAGUCCUAUCUGCAGCUGAACUGUGAGAGAGGAACGUGGAGAUGUCCUGUAUGCAAUAAAACAGCAUUAUUGGAAGGGCUGGAGGUGGAUCAGUACAUGUGGGGAAUUCUCAAUGCGAUCCAAAAUUCGGAGUUUGAAGAGGUCACCAUCGACCCUACGUGUAGUUGGAGACCGGUGCCCAUAAAGUCAGACAUUCAUAUAAAGGAGGACCCAGAUGGCCCUCUGGCCAAGCGUUUUAAAACCAUGAGUCCCAGUCAAAUGAUCAUGCCUAAUGUGAUGGAUAUGAUCGCCCAGCUGGGUCCCGGCCCUUCACCCUACACCCCCCUCCCCCCUCAGCACGGAGGAAAUAAUGGCGAAUAUGGGGGCCAUGGUAGAGGCAAUAGUUAUCAGGGCCAUGGAAACUUUGACUUCUCCCACAGUAACUCUGGUGGCGGAACUCCCAUGAAUGACUUCAUGCACGGACCCCAGCUCUCACAUCCUCCAGACAUGCCCAGCAGCCUCAUGGGCCCUGACAAGCCUCUCGCCCACGGCAUGCCCGACUCGAUGCCCCAUCCCGUGAGCGCUGAUCAAUCCCAUGCUUCCAUGCAGCCAGGCAUGCACGCAUCCCCUCACCCCAACAGCCAAUCAGCUCAGCCAUUGCAUCACAGCGGCCCCCCAUCCUCCCAGCACCCGCGCCAGCCCCCGCCCCCCCAGCAGCCAGGCCAAAACAGUCACCCACAUGCCGAAAUGACCUUCAACCCCGCCGCUGAUGGGCAGGCAGGUGGCCAGGGACCUGCAGACAUGCCCGAGCCUUCUCUGGAUCUUCUGCCAGAACUGGCGAACCCAGACGAGUUGCUGUCAUACUUAGACCCUCCUGACCUCCCAAGCAGCAGCAAUGACGAUCUGCUUUCCCUUUUUGAGAACAACUGACUUCUUUCAGUCGGCCUUUUGCAGAGGUCCUAAUUUGUUUGGCUGUCAGGAAUCGAGAGGCACCUGAAGACUGACUCUGUACUUUGCAAACAGGAAACAGCCAUCCUUUUGCCUCUUCCUCGUGUAAAUAUCUCACUCUUUUACAAGCAACCUUUUCCACACAUAUAUGGCAGCCAUGUUGGUUGGCACUAAAGUGAUAUCUUUCAAUACUAAUGGAAAUACAUGUGCAGCUAUAAUCAGUUCAUAUGAAUACGUCACACAGAACUGUGUGUGUGCUCACUAGGAAAGUAUUGUAGCAUUUUUAAUUCAGAUUUUUUUUCCUUUUGUGAAAAGAAGACCUGAAUAGAAAAUAUAUAUAUAUAUUUUCUUCCUGUACCGGCCUCUGUGUGUUCGCAAUCUCUUGAAGGUUUGUUCUUCCAAGCUCUACCACCAUGGCUUCCCAAGUCCUUGUCUGCUGGAUGUCCACACUGUUUGUCUGUCCAUCUCCCUCAAAAAAGCACAAGAGAAUGCGUCAAACUGCACCUGGAAGCCUGUAAAGGAGACAACAAAAGGGAAAAACGCCCAUCUCGGAAUCACCAGAAUGAUCUAACCCUCCCAUCCCAGAGACUAAUGAUGGGAGUUUUGCGAAAGUCCUCCAAACUCUCACGCCACAGGACACGAGAGUGUGUUCUGUUCUAGUACACCGCGCAGCUUUGCACCUCAUUUUGUAAUGCGAUUCAUAUGUCCAGCACCUUCAGACAUAUGCAUCAUGUUCUAAACAAAUGCUAGAGGGCAUCACGGCAUGCAUUCUUUUCCUUCUCGAGACAGAAUUGCAAACAUUUCAGCACUGUACCCAUAAUAUUGUGCAUCUUCCGACAGACUGUUCCUCCUUCCGUAACAUCCUAUGGAUUCUCCACACUAGUGGUCACAGGGCAAGAAGAAAGCAAUUCACAUUUCAAAGGGACGUCAGUCUUGUGUUAUCUGUCUUCUCUGUGAGUUCUCUUCAUGCAUGAGGCUUGGUCGUCUUAGGCCCUUGAUGUUUGUACCCCUCUUCUGACAAACUGCAUACAAUGUUGAAACAUUCACUUUUGCCAAUCGCCCCAUAUUUUAAGUGAUACUGUUUUUUUUCUUCCUCAAUCAUUUCUUCUGUUCAUUUUAAUUCUGCCUUUUAUUCAUGAACUGUUGUGUUAAAGUUUUAUUUUAUAAUGCACAAUAUACGUAUUGUUCAUAUAAUGGUAGUUUUUUUUUCUGUUGUUACAAUUGUACAAAAAUGUGUACAUUUAUCAAAAGAUGUCCAUGGAUUACCAAAGUUAUGCACCCUGAUUUGAGAAGGUGGCCCAAACCUAUUUUGACAAGCCCAUUUUUAAAUUUUUACCCAUAGAAUUUAAUCAAUGUAUAAUGUUUCACUUUUAGCAAUUUGUUUACAAGUAAUAUCAUAGUUAUUACAGAGCAAACAAUGAAGAAAGUGUUAGAAUAUGUUAUAUAUUUAUAGAUUUUUACUUUUUAAUUCAAUUAUAUAAUGAAGCUAUAUAUUAUCGCAGUACCCAUCAAUGAUUUCGAUUCUUACAGAAAAUGUACAUUUCAGUAAAAAUUCAGUCACUUUUAUACUGUAUCAGCAGCUCAGUGAAGGUUAACAACGUCCAUGUGUACAAGAUGGAUUUUCUUUAAGAUUUCUUUGUUUUUGUUUUUAAAUCAAAAAUGGCCCGCUUCAAUAAUUGUCAGUAUUUAUGAUAUUUGUAACAACAUUUCCGUGAUACUGAUGUUACUCAAAGACUGUUGAAGAAGGCUGACAUCUGUACACCUGAAUACUGUUUGGGAUGUGUUUUGUUGGAUGAAACAUCGCUGUUGAAACAUGUUUCCAAUUUAAGUUAUUUUUUUAUGAUUUGCAAUAUUAGUUUUUAGUUAGUUUUUUUUCCUGUUUUUCUUGGUGUAGAAUUAUGUACAAAAAUGAUGUUUGUCGUUGACAGGAAAACUGGUUCAAGUUCUAUAGCGUUUGUCUGUAGUUCACUUGUAUAUCCUUUUUCAAAGAUGCACUGCCACAUAUUCGUUCCCACUUUGUAGACACAAAUAGGCAUAAACUGAACUUUAAGACUUCUAAAGUCGGCUCUGAACUGUCACGUACUAUCGUUGUACAGUCAUUGAAGAGGCAGUGAGUGCUGAGGCGGGAACAGAAAGGUUUAAAUGAAAUAGACGGUGUGUUCACUAUUCAGCCACAGGUGAGGGUUCAGUGAGGGUCGAAGGAAAAGGGGGGAAGGGGCACAUUAGGGAUGCAUGUACAUAUGUAAAUGAUAAAUAGAGACACGUUAACAGAAAUGUAUUCAUUUUCCCCAGGGGAAUGUGCAUUGUGUAUUUAGAAUUUGUAAAGCUUGCAUCCUCCCAUCAGAAUCUAAAUUGGGUAAAAUGAAUCUGUGUUUGUUAGCGUCUGUGGAACCUCUAAGCAUUUGUUCACUUUUGUAAAAUAUUCAUCCCACAUGAGUGAGGAUCUAAACUGGUCAGAAGAAAAAAAAACAACAACAAAAAAACUAAUUGUGAUUUUUAGUCUUGCAAAACUGUAUGUAGUUAGAUGCUGUGACAUCCUAAUAUUUAUCUAAUAAAUAUGUAUUCAGAUGAAACA